rnacentral:lncRNA from 10 species
UUGAGUAGUUUGUGUCUCCUGAUUGGACUCCUACAAAUACAGAAUUGAUGCUAGGAAGGGUACCAGGAGAUAGACGCACACAGAUGGGAUUUGGGAAUAGGUUUGGUUAUCCAAGGAGCAGUGCUGAGCUCCUUGCUAAUGGGAUAUGGGAUGCUGGUGAUUUCCAGGAAGUGAGCUCACAAUGACUCAAGCUGCCACAUAGUGUUGAUUGUGAAAUGCCAGUUGAAGCAUAUGUCCUGCGAGCUUGGGGGUGCUACAAGUUGACCACUGCAGCAGUAAAGAUGACUCUGAAGAAUGGCGUGGGAUGGAUCCUUUCAAAUGCACUUGAGCAGCAGUCUCCAACCACAGGGCCACAGAGCUGGAGCUGGAUCUACCAUGAAAGACUUCUGAAUCCAGGAAGAGAGACUGACUGGGCAACAUGUUAUUCAGGUACAAAAAGAUUUGGACUGUAACUUAAAAAUGAUCAAAUAAUAGUGCAUGCAUCAAGUGCAAUGGGAAGCUCCACUGGAGAGUGAGAGAAGCUUCCAGUUAAGGUGACAUUGAAGCCAAGUCCUGAAAGAUGAGGAAGAGUUGUAUGAGAGUGGGGAGGGAAGGGGGA